rnacentral:rRNA from 1 species
CAAUAGCGUAUAUUAAAGUUGUUGCAGUUAAAAAGCUCGUAGUUGAAUUUCUGUACAUUCUCAGUUCUGGCUUCGGUCAAGCUGUGGAGUGUGCAUCCGCUUGCAAACCUAGCCCGGCCUUUACUGGUCGACUAGGGGAGUAAGCCCUUUACUUUGAAAAAAUUAGAGUGUUUCAGGCAGGCAAUUGCUCGAAUACAUUAGCAUGGAAUAAUGGAAUAGGACUUUUGUCCAUUUGGUUGGUUAUUGGACAUUAGUAAUGAUUAAAAGGGACAGUUGGGGGCAUUAGUAUUUAAUUGUCAGAGGUAAAAUUCUUGGAUCAAUUAAAGACUAACUUAUGCGAAAGCAUUUGCCAAGGAUGUUUUCAUUA